rnacentral:rRNA from 1 species
CCUGGNAAAGUUUCCGUAGGUGAACCUGAGGACGGAUCAUAG